CGGAGGGAGCGGCGGACGGGUGAGUAACGCGUGGGAACGUACCCUUCUCUGCGGAAUAGCCACUGGAAACGGUGAGUAAUACCGCAUACGCCCUUCGGGGGAAAGAUUUAUCGGAGAAGGAUCGGCCCGCGUUGGAUUAGGUAGUUGGUGGGGUAAUGGCCUACCAAGCCUACGAUCCAUAGCUGGUUUUAGAGGACGAUCAGCCACACUGGGACUGAGACACGGCCCAGACUCC
rnacentral:rRNA from 1 species